UGUGACAGUGAGUGUGGAAGGUGACCCACCACUUCAGGGAUUCAGUUCACAACAGGGCUCUGGCUCCUGAACUUCUAUCCAGAAACAGGGCUCUGGUUACAGAGCUCUAGUCAGGGCCAGAGUCCAGAGAAGCAGUCAGGGAGGGGCUCAAAGGAGGGGCCUCAGGAAUAUAUCAGGAAUAUAUCAGAGGCACUACAGGAGGCCCUGACCAGCCCAAGGGUUGCUUGGUACUAAACCUUAUAAGAUUGGGGCAAAGAAAAAUUAUUAAUGUAUUAUUAAGGAAGAAAUUAACAUGAUGCGAGUUCCUGUUGUGGCUCAGUGGGCUAAGAACCCAACUAGUAUCUGUAAGGAUGCAGGGAUCGAACCCAAAUCCCCAUGGAUCCUAGUCAGUUUCGUUACUGCUGAGCCACAACGGGAACUCCCCAACAAAGCCAUUUUAGAAUCUGAGCACCAGAACUGCAAGCGGAUAAAUCUGUGCGGUGCUAAUUUGCUAGUUCACAGAGCAGCAAUAGCAAACUCACGUGGUGCUCAUUAUGGUAUGAAAGAACCAGCUUUGUCUGAAAAUGUCAAGAGCAGGUUUUCCAACUCCAUCCGAUGAGGAAAUGGAGCUUGACCCCAGUAGGUGAGAGAACCGUGCCCUGAGACAGGAGGGUUAGAGUGAUGUGGGGCAAAUUGACACUGGGAAAGGACAGGAUGGCCUGGGAGAAUGUUCCCACUGGUGCGGAGGCUGAAGAGAGCCCGAGAAGGAAACACGAGGUCAAGAUGGUCCAAGAGGGUCCUGAAAACGCCAUCCUGGGAAGCCAAGGGCAGAGAGUGUUUCAAGGAGGAGGCUGUUAACUGUGUUCCAAGAACAAAUUAUAUUAAAAUGUGUAGAAACCUUUAUAAGUAGUUGUCCACACUUUUAUGGGUGCACAGGAAAAGGAGGUCUUUUGGAGUAAAAAUACAAAUUAGGGGCUUAAGGAUGACAUGAGGGCUGAGAAAAUGAAGGUAGCUCGUGUUAACCAUGUAUUAGAAAAUAUUGGUGGUGAGUGAGUGGGGAGAAAUGAAACAGUGGCCAGGAAGAGCAGUAGCUUGUUUUUGUUGUUGCUAAUUUUUUUUUAUUAUGGUAGAAUACCCAUUAUGUAAAAUUUACCUGGAGUGACAUGUAGUACAUUCACCAUGUUGUGCAACCAUGGUCACUGUUUAGUUCCAGAACAGUUCCAUCACCCCCCCGCCCCCGGAGGAAACCCCAUAAUCUUAAUCCCAUUAUCACUUCCUGAGCUCUCCUCCCCCCAGCUCCUGGCAGCCACUAAUCUGCUUCUUCGUUCUGCGGGCUUGCUCUGUUCUGGAUAUUACAUAUAAAUGGAACCAUGUCAUACGUGGCCGUGUUCUGCCUGGCUUCUUUCACUCAGCAUGGUGUUUUCAAGGUUCAUCCAUGCGGUAGGGAGGAUCGGUACUUCACUCCUUUUCAUGGAUGAAUAAUAUUCCACCACUUGGAUGUAGGACAGUUUGCUUGUCAUCAAUUGAUGGACAUUUAGAUUGUUGCCACUUUUUGGCCCUUGUGAACAACGAGCGCCUUGGUUUUCUCUCCUGUGGUUUUGUUUGGGGGAUGGAGGGGUUUGGCCAUGAGGGAGAAGCAGGGGAGGAGGCAGGUAACACGGACUCCCGGGGUCCACGCUGCCUGGUCCCUGCGUGGAACUUGCAGGGAAAAUCUGGGCUGUCACUAGGGGGCAGGAUGGUGUUGGGGGCAGAGGUGGACCUGGGCAGGUGAUUGGCUUUGCUCAUCAUCCAUAAAUCUCUACUGGAAAGUUGAGGAUAGUGUGAGAUAACUCAGCAAGUGCCAGAAUGCCUCAGGGGAAGCUGAAUUCUACGCGGCCUCCAGCAUCAAGACCAGGGCUUCUACCGGAGGAACCCAAGAAUGUGCCCUUUGCUUGUCAUUUUAGUUGUGUGUCCUAUUUACUUUUUAUUUUGUAUUGAAAGAGGAAGGACUGUGCAGGAAAGAGGGGGGGUGAGGGGGACAUUAUAGAGGUCUUUUGUAAAAGAAGGAAAAGAUCCUUGGUGUCACACUCUUAUUGGGGUGAAUUGCAUUACUCAUGUGCUGUUUUAAUUUUUUUUUUGAAGGCUAUUCUUACUUGUGCCUGUUUUUAAUACCUGAACAACUGGGAGAGAGAACUUAUAAUCCUGCAGUCAUUUGGCUUGUAUUCUUAGAGAGUAUUUUUAAACUAUAACUUUCAGAGCCCUCUAAUGUCAUUUAAAGCACAAGAAGUGCUUUCAGUAUUCAUUUCUCCUAAAGUGAAGGUUUUAGAUUUUGCGUAGGAUUUUUACUUCCACUGAAAAUACAUUUUUAAAGAUCUUUUCCUUGAUGUGUGUGGGUUGUUGUUGUUGUUUUGGUCAGUUGUUGUUAUCGUUAUUAAAAUGAGUGAUAUUUUCAAUCAUGACUCAGGAGUCAUCUGCUCUGGAAGGAAAACUAACUGAACUCCAAAGCUUAUCAAGGUGAACUUCCCCAAGUCAGAAAUGGAUGUUUAUUUUGAAUAAAUUGCGCAUUUAAAUACUUUUUUUCCCCCCCUGGGGUUAAGUUGGUAUGAAAUCAUCUUCCUUUCAAGGGCUUUUAAUGGGUGCACCAUGCUUGGGAUAUAUAAUGAAAACUUAGUAAUUGAGAGGAUCUUUAAGUGAAAAAGAAAUUUGUAUUUUUAAAUUGAGAAACGGAUCUGAACUUGAUUUGGGGUCACAACAGGACUGCCCCAGUCUAAAUCCUCAGUAAACUGGACUGGGGAAGAGGGCCCUUCUCCGUGUCCUGCCCAUUCAUUGAGCUGUCCAGUGACUACAUAGAUGACUGAAUUGGACCAGUUCUGUUUCCCUGUUGGAAGGGGAGAAGUGACCGGGGUUUGAAGAAUUUGUUUGUGUUCUUUGUGUGGAGCACAUAGAAAGUCAGACGUAAACUCAGAAGUUUGUCUUUGUUCCUUGCUCAAGGCCUGAAAGUCCUCCAAAAUGAAAGAGUACAAGGCUUACAAUAAAUGAAUUUUCUCCUACGGGUAAGACUAUGGGAUUGCUAAAUGAAUCAAUAGCAGGAAGAUAGUUGGCUCUAAGUCCUAGAGAGCACCUUCCCCCCUGACUCUGCUAGCUGAGAAACAAAACUUUCCUCUGCUCAGCAAGUGAUUUUGAGAAGUAGAGGGAGGCCAGUGAGAAGUGGAUGAGGCUGGUGAUGCCUGAGCUCAACUACCUUGACUUUGACCUCUUGGCCUCAAAUACUCUUCCUGCUCAUCUCCCCCAUUUUGCCCUUUUGAAUUUAACAGUGAGGGUAAAAAAAAAAAGAGAGAAUUAAUUACUUGAUCAAAUUCAUAAGAAUUCAGAAUUGGAGAGUAGGGAGAAGCUUAAGAUAAUCUCAGCCUCUGAGAAAGAUCUUAAUGAAACAAAGUUAUCAAGAUAAUCAGUGGGUCCAGCACUCAGAUUCCUGAAGAAGGGAUUAUUUGCUAGCCCCCUUUGCUUAACUAGUUCUAGCAUCUCAUGACCCCCUUAGAUACAAAGGAGAUGGCAACUUUAUCUGUUCCUAAUGCUUGGAAUUUUAUAAGCGCCUCUUGAUUUGGGAGCUAUGAGUUUUAUCCAACACUAAUUUUAAGGCACUUACCUAAUACCUUCUUAUUCGUCUAUGUUUCAAAAGCAGAACAAUUUUACCCAGUAACAACUUCAGGAUUAUUGGGAAAUUUGACAUGAUGAGGCCAUAGUUGUAUGUAUUCAUAUAUUCAGAGCUAAAGGGCUUGGUAAACUACUGUUAUAGAACUGAACUUGGCAUAUAUCUUUAUAUUUAUGGAAGGGUCUCACUAUGUGUUUAUGGAAGGGUCUCACUAUGUGUAUUGAAAGGAGAACUUCGGAAGAACCAGACAUAUCCUUUGGCAAAAUCAGGCAUCUCUUUCUGUGGCUGAAAUGAAUGCUGCUGAAACAAGAGUUCGUGUUUGGGGAUUGCAGAUGAAGUUCUCAUUGUGUUGGUAACACACUCAUGGUAAUUCAACAGAAGUUAACCGAGAGCCAGCUACCUGCUAGGCUCUGCGGGAGGGUGGUGGAAAGUGACUGUGAAAUGUAUUUAAAAGGUUCCUUUAUGCGAGGAAACCCAGUUCUGCUGUUAUCUGUUGAGGAGUUCAUUAGCCCUCUGUGCUUUCCCUCCUUAAAAUUUCUUUCGUCUUGGGCCUGACUCUGAAAUUCUUCACUUGAACUGCCUGUGAUAUUUGUAACGGAAUGAAACACUUUUACAAAGGUCGGUCUUGGGUGUUGUGGAUGGGGAAGGGGGAUGACAGAGCCCAUGGUCACCCUCUAGGUCUCUCUUCGAGCGGCUCUUUGGGAUGCCUGCUUAAACUCUGGGGCCCCUUGCCCCUUGAGCUUGAGCCUGUGGCUCCAUUCUUCCAGCAUUUAGUAGAGACGCCUGCCAUGUGUAAGGCUCUCCCCUGGACGUCUGGCAUAGCACCUCAUGUUCUGUCAAGAUCUUACGGUAUUUCCCUUGAUGGUGGAAAAAGGGGUACAGUUCUCAAACAUCAGAGAGGUGGUAGACAUAAUGAGAGUUGUACAUUGAAGCCAUGUCUGUUCACUUUUCAAAUACUUCUGAAGAGAUUCUGUUGCCAUUUGCUCUACAUAAAGGGAGAGAGCCAGUGGCACCAGAAUGAAAAUAGCUGGAUUACAUCAUCAGGAAAAGUUUUCAUUGGUACAUUAUGCCUGGAGGGGAGGAAGUCCAUGGUUAUAUUUAGAUUGCUUCUGUUUUGCUCAUUGAAAUGGUAGUUUCAAGACAAAGUAAGAAAAAGGAAAAGGAGGAAUACUUGAAGAAGGCCACUGGGUUGACUUUGCACGCAUUAAUGAACAAUGGUGUUAAUUUUAGGAGUUCCCUUCAUGGCUCAGCGGAAAUGAGUCUGACUGGUAUCCAUGAGGACACAGGUUCCAUCCUUGGCCUCACCCGGUGGCUUAAGGAUCUGAUGUUGCUGUGAGCUGUGGUUUAGGUCGCAGACCCGGCUCAGAUCCCACAUUGCUGUGGCUGUGGUGUAGGCAGGCGGCCACAGCUCUGAUUUAACCCCUAGCCUGGGAAUCUCCAUAUGCUGCAGGUGUGGCAUAAAAGACAAAAAAAAAAAAAAA
rnacentral:lncRNA from 1 species